GCAAAUGGGACAUGAACACAAACCUGAACAUUCCAUGACUCAUUUUCUGAUAAAGUGUCAACAGGCACAUAAAACAGUAUAUAUAGUUGAAAGACAGAGACUACAGAAAACAUUUCACUCAUCCAAGAAGAACACAGUCAGUCCUGAAUAGCAAGUGAGAUGAAAGCUGUAUAUUCGGCUCUCCUCCUCCUCCUCCUGGCAGUUAGCUACGGAGAGAGCUUGAAGUGCAAUCGAUGUGUCCCAGGUUCUCCAGGCUCACGCUGCACCAACACCAUAGAGACCUGCCCAUCUGGCUUUGACGUGUGUGGCUCGGUUAUUUUCAAGCCUCCACUCCCUAUCUCGUAUUUCAAGAGAUGCAUGAAGAAAUCAGAUUGUACAAUUCUGGGACUCAAUUCCAGCAUUGAUGUCAGAUGCUGCUCUUUUGAUCGCUGCAACUGAUAAAUCUCAAUGAAAAACUGAUAUUUAAUCAAUUAUUUUCAAUAAUCGGUGACUGAGGAACGUUUCAGAUUAUCUGACUGCAUUACAUGUAUGAAUUACACCUAUUGUAAUUGUCCUAGUUCAUAGAAUUCUAGUCUCUCUUUGUGUUAACGCUUACUACACUACAAAAUUGGCAUAAAUCAAUUCAGUGGUUUCACCAAAUAAAUCCAGCAGUUGGCUGGAGCAGGAUUGCUGGAACAUAUGUGGCUGGAAAGUAGAGGGCCCUCUGUGUCAUACCUGUCAUUAUGCCACAUCACAUACAGUAUGUAACACAGACUAAUAUUGCUGUCCUUGAAAACUAUGAUGACACUUUCCGUCCACUAGAUGUCAAUAAAACUCUUUCAAAUGUAA